rnacentral:rRNA from 1 species
UGGGGAAUAUUGCACAAUGGGCGAAAGCCUGAUGCAGCGACGCCGCGUGAGGGAUGAAGGCCUUCGGGUUGUAAACCUCUUUCGCUCAUGGUCAAGCCGCAACUGUGGGUUGUGGUGAGGGUAGUGGGUAAAGAAGCACCGGCUAACUACGUGCCAGCAGCCGCGGUAAUACGUAGGGUGCGAGCGUUGUCCGGAAUUAUUGGGCGUAAAGGGCUUGUAGGCGGUUUGUCGCGUCUGCCGUGAAAUCCUCUGGCUUAACUGGGGGCGUGCGGUGGGUACGGGCAGACUUGAGUGCGGUAGGGGAGACUGGAACUCCUGGUGUAGCGGUGGAAUGCGCAGAUAUCAGGAAGAACACCGGUGGCGAAGGCGGGUCUCUGGGCCGUUACUGACGCUGAGGAGCGAAAGCGUGGGGAGCGAACAGG